rnacentral:lncRNA from 1 species
CGAUAAUCCAGGAUAAUCCCCUCAUCUAAAAAUCUGUUACCUUAACCACAUCUGCAAAGUCCCUGUUGCCGUGUAAUGUAAGCUAUUCACAGGUUCUGGGGAUUAGGAAAAGGACAUCUUUGGUGGGGGCCUUAUUCAGCCUACCACAUAGAGAUUAGUACCUGAAAAGCCAGCAGGUGAGAAGCUAGACAGAGCAGCCGGUGGCAGCUAAAGGAGAAAGGGGGCGAGAGCUGGAGAAGUCGCACUUCCGCCGAUGGCGCAGCAAAGGGGAUGUUGCCCUGGAGGACUCAGGGAACGGAACUGGGCUAUCAGCCGAGAAUGGGGCUCCACUCAAAAGGAGGAACCAACAGGAGACACAAGGAACCCCAGCAGGAAGAAGUCGGAGAUGGAGGAGGGGAAGUCAUAGCUGGAGGAGACGUGUGUUAGGAAGCUACAAUGGCAGCUCCCUAGUGGAGGUGUUUCGGAAAAACUCCGAAGAUUCCACUUGAGAAAAUCAUCGGCCUUCAGACAACGUCUAUGCCAGAUAAUGCUACCAAAUCACAACCUUGCCUUUCCUCCCUACUGCUGUUCUGAUGUGGGAGGACCCAAAGGCAGCAGAAGAGCCAAAGAAGAGUAGCAGAAAGGCAUAUCCACAGCUCUUCAAAUAAGCAAUGUGAUGUUAGCAAAAGUGCAGGGGCUCCUUGAGAACUUUCCAGGGCUAACCAGCUGCUGAGGAGUGGCCUCCAGGAAAGAGAGAAGCACUCUGAUUCAGGCAGUGAUUUACACCUAAAAUACCAACUCCAUCAUAUCUUCAGAACAAUUCUUCUAGACCUUGCAUCUAAAUAUGGAGUCAUUAACUAACAACGAACAAAACCUCUGGAUGGCCGAAGGACCUAGGCUAUACAGAAAGCUGUGAAUUACCAAUGAGAACGCAGCUGUACCCACUGUCCAACCAGUCCCAGUGAGAUGAACCAGCUACUACAGUUGGAAAUGCAGAAAUCACCCAUCUUCUUCAUCGAUCACGCUGGGAGCUACAGACCGGAGCUGUUCUUACUUGGCCAUCUUGGAAUGGAUCCUCCAUUCAUGAUUUUAAAGAUAUUUUUCCAUGUCUUCUAGCUUCAUUUUGUCCUAUAGAAACUAGACGUCAUGUUUAUACACUUCUACAUAAUAUGUCUUCUUUCGAUGCUUUUAAGAUUUAUUCUUUGGUUUUCAGCAGUUUGACCAUGAUACAGUUAGUUAUAUUUUUAGUUGCACUUACCCUAUUUGGGAUUUGCGGAGUUUCAUGAAUGUGUGGGUUGCUGUUUUCAAUCAAAUUUAGAAAUUUUUCAUAUAAUAUAGUUGCAAUUUUUUUUCUUGCUCCAUAUUCUCUCUCCUCUCCUUCUUAAAUGUGUGUCAGACCUUUUGAGACAAUUGCACAGCUCACUGGGGGUCUGCUAAGUUAAAAAAAAAAUCUCUUGCUCUCUGUCCUUCAGUUUAGAUGCUUGCUAUUGGCUUUCUUCAUGGACACUACUCCUUUCUUUUGUUGUGUUAAAUGUCCUGUUAAUCCCAGGAAAUGAAUUUUUUAAAGAUUUUCUUUUUCAGUUCUAGGACUUGACUCCCAUUUGUUUCUUUUUACGAUUUACAUAUCAUUUCUGAAAAUUUCCUUUUUUUCACCCAUUAUACCCAUGCUUUCCUAUAAAUUCAUUAACAUAUUUAUCGUAACUAUAUUAAUUUUUGUCAAUGUUAACGUCUGGUUAAUUUCAACAUCUCGUUAUUCUGUAGGUCUCUUUCUACUUCUGUUAUUCUCUGGGGUAUGUGUUACACUUUUCUGUAUCUUU